rnacentral:rRNA from 1 species
CACGUAGGCACCAAGCGUUGUCCGGAUUUAUUGGGCGUAAAGAGCUCGUAGGCGGUUCGGUAAGUCGGGUGUGAAAACUCUGGGCUCAACCCAGAGCUGUCACCCGAUACUGCUGUGACUUGAGUGCGGUAGGGGAGCGGGGAAUUCCUGGUGUAGCGGUGAAAUGCGCAGAUAUUGGGAAGAACACCGGUGGCGAAGGCGGCUAUCUGGACCGACGAUUGACGCUGAGGCGCGAAAGCUAGGGGAGCGAACGGG